rnacentral:lncRNA from 1 species
UGAUGUGGCAAAGAGGUUAAAAGACAUUAAGUAAAAUAUGGUGUUUCAAACUGUUAUUGCAGCGUUUAGGGAUUUGGUAUCUGGUGGAGAAAAAACCCUUCAGAAUAUUUCAUUCCCAUCCAACCUGACUUCCAGCAUCAACAUGUUCAGCAAAAUCCUCAGUUUUGGGAAGAGCCAGACCCAAUAUUCAACUGCAGCAAAUCUCAAAGUCAUUCUGUGUGAGGUGUUGUCACGAUAUGUAACACAUCCUGAUCUGGCUGAAGAGAAGAUGGUAGCCAAUAUCCACCAGACAUUCUGCUUUACUGACCUAUCACUUUUAGAGUCAUUUACCCAAGAGUUCAGAAGUCAGCUCUCUGAGGUGCAACACAACCCACAGUACCAGGCAACAUUCGUCAAUGAAAUGGUCUCGUUUCUAAACCUCAUCUCCCAAGUGCAGAAUGACACCUCCCUGUGGCACCUGCUUUUGCUGGCCCCAGAUGUGUUUCAGGGCAGCAUGCAACUGGAAGACAUAACUGAUUUCCUUCAGAACCCAAGCAGGUAAACAUACAGAAAAUGCCAGGAGAGGCACUGGCUGCUGGAGGGUUUGUGUAUUGAACUGGAAGGACACCACCUCUCAUCUUGAAGAAAGGGUGUUGGCUUGAAAGCAUCAUUUAUUUGGGGGAUGAUAAAGUUCCAUGCUAAUGCAUCUCUAAUGGUCUCUCAGUGUUUUGAUUGUCAACGACUGUUAUGUCACUUUUUAAAUGAGAGCUUGCUAUAAACUCUUAGUUUACUUCCAGCCUGCUUAGAGACACUCUCAUGCCCAUGUACAGAUAGAAAAGGUGGUGAGUAACAGCCACUGCCUUUGGUUGAAGAAAAGCCCUUCUGUCUGGAUAGUUGUUCUGCUAAAGCAAGCAACUGUCUGUUCCUUUCCAGAAAAGCAUAGGGCCCAAUUCAAAUUGCU